rnacentral:rRNA from 1 species
GACGAACGCUGGCGGCGUGCCUAAUACAUGCAAGUCGAGCGCAGGAAACUGACGGAACUCUUCGGAGGGAAGGCAGUGGAAUGAGCGGCGGACGGGUGAGUAACACGUAAGGAACCUGCCUCAAGGAUUGGGAUAACUCCGAGAAAUCGGAGCUAAUACCGGAUAGUUCAACGGACCGCAUGGUCUGCUGAUGAAAGGCGCUCCGGCGUCACCUUGAGAUGGCCUUGCGGUGCAUUAGCUAGUUGGUGGGGUAACGGCCUACCAAGGCGACGAUGCAUAGCCGACCUGAGAGGGUGAUCGGCCACACUGGGAAUGAGACACGGCCCAGACUCCUACGGGAGGCAGCAGUAGGGAAUCUUCCACAAUGGACGAAAGUCUGAUGGAGCAACGCCGCGUGAGUGAUGAAGGUUUUCGGAUCGUAAAACUCUGUUGUAAGGGAAGAACACGUACGAGAGGGAAUGCUCGUACCUUGACGGUACCUUACGAGAAAGCCACGGCUAACUACGUGCCAGCCGCCGCAGUAA